rnacentral:rRNA from 1 species
GACGAACGCUGGCGGCGCGCUUAACACAUGCAAGUCGAACGGAAAGGCCUGCUUUCCCUUGUGGAUUGCGGGUACUCGAGUGGCGAACGGGUGAGUAACACGUGAGUGAUCUGCCCCCAACUUGGGUAUAAGCCUGGGAAACUGGGUCUAAUUCCCGAUAGGACUGCAGGGUGGUGCCUGUGGUGGAAAACGAUUUUCUAGUGGUUGGGGAUGAGCUCGCGGCCUAUCAGCUUGUUGGUGGGGUAAUGGCCUACCAAGGCGGCGACGGGUAGCCGGCCUGAGAGGGUGGACGGCCACAUUGGGACUGAGAUACGGCACAGACUCCUACGGGAGGCAGCAGUGGGGAAUAUUACACAAUGGGCGGAAGCCUGAUGCAGCGACGCCGCGUGGGGGAUGACGGCCUUCGGGUUGUAAACUCCUUUCGACCGCGAGGAAGCCACCUGGUUGGAAGGGUGGUGACGGUAGUGGUAGAAGAAGCACCGGCUAACUACGUG